UACAUGGGGUGCAAACGUUGCUCGGAAUUAUUGGGCGUAAAGCGCACGUAGGCGGUUUGUUAAGUCGGAUGUGAAAUCCCUCGGCUCAACUGAGGAAGUGCAUCCGAAACUGGCAAGCUUGAGUACGAAAGAGGAUCGCGGAAUUCCCGGUGUAGAGGUGAAAUUCGUAGAUAUCGGGAGGAACACCGGUGGCGAAGGCGGCGAUCUGGGUCGAUACUGACGCUGAGGUGCGAAAGCGUAGGGAGCAAACAGG
rnacentral:rRNA from 1 species